rnacentral:rRNA from 1 species
UACGAAGGGGGCUAGCGUUGCUCGGAAUCACUGGGCGUAAAGGGUGCGUAGGCGGGUCUUUUAAGUCAGGGGUGAAAUCCUGGAGCUCAAUUCCAGAACUGCCUUUGAUACUGAAGAUCUUGAGUUCGGGAGAGGUGAGUGGAACUGCGAGUGUAGAGGUGAAAUUCGUAGAUAUUCGCAAGAACACCAGUGGCGAAGGCGGCUCACUGGCCCGAUACUGACGCUGAGGCACGAAAGCGUGGGGAGCAAACAGG